rnacentral:rRNA from 1 species
GUCCACGCCUAACGAUGUCAACUGGUUGUUGGGAGGGUUUCUUCUCAGUAACGAAGCUAACGCGUGAAGUUGACCGCCUGGGAGUACGGCCGCAAGGUUGAACUCAAGGAAUUGACGGGACCCGCACAAGCGGUGGAUGAUGUGGUUUAAUUCGAUGCAACGCGAAACCUUAACCUACCCUUGACAUGUCAGAGAUCCUGUAGAGAUAUGGGAGUGCUCGCAAGAGAAUCUGAACACAGGUGCUGCAUGGCCGUCGU